rnacentral:rRNA from 1 species
UGGGGAAUAUUGGACAAUGGGCGAAAGCCUGAUCCAGCCAUGCCGCGUGUGUGAAGAAGGUCUUCGGAUUGUAAAGCACUUUAAGUUGGGAGGAAGGGCAGUAAGCGAAUACCUUGCUGUUUUGACGUUACCGACAGAAUAAGCACCGGCUAACUCCGUGCCAGCAGCCGCGGCAAUACAGAGGGUGCAAGCGUUAAUCGGAAUUACUGGGCGUAAAGCGCGCGUAGGUGGUUCGUUAAGUUGAAUGUGAAAGCCCCGGGCUCAACCUGGGAACUGCAUCCAAAACUGGCGAGCUAGAGUAGGGCAGAGGGUGGUGGAAGUUCCUGUGUAGCGGUGAAAUGCGUAGAUAUAGGAAGGAACACCAGUGGCGAAGGCGACCACCUGUGCUCAUACUGACACUGAGGUGCGAAAGCGUGCGGAGCAAACAGG